CCCUUAGAUGUUCUGGGCCGCACGCGCGCUACACUGACGGAGUCAACGAGUUGUCCUGCAUCGGAAGGUGUUGGUAAUCUUUUGAAACUUCGUCGUGCUGGGGAUAGAUCUUUGCAAUUUUCGAUCUUGAACGAGGAAUUCCUAGUAAGCGUGAUUCAUCAGAUCGCGUUGAUUACGUCCCUGCCCUUUGUACACACCGCCCGUCGCUACUACCGAUUGAAUGGUUUAGUGAGGCCUCGGGACUGGCGCGCUCGAGUAGCAAUACACCUGCGCGCCGGGAACUUGGUCAAACUUGAUCAUUUAGAGGAAGUAAAAGUCGUAACA
rnacentral:rRNA from 1 species